rnacentral:rRNA from 1 species
UACAGAGGUGGCAAGCGUUGUUCGGAAUUACUGGGCGUAAAGGGCGCGUAGGCGGCCUUCUAAGUCAGACGUGAAAUCCCCAGGCUUAACUUGGGAACUGCGUCUGAUACUGGGAGGCUUGAGUGCGGGAGAGGGAUGUGGAAUUCCAGGUGUAGCGGUGAAAUGCGUAGAUAUCUGGAGGACCACCGGUGGCGAAGGCGGCAUCCUGGACCGACACUGACGCUGAGGCGCGAAAGCUAGGGGAGCAAACGGG